rnacentral:lncRNA from 1 species
UGAGUUGUGUCCAUCCACCUCUGUAGUAGCGCAUAAACCGACUGUGAUCGGUUCUUCUAAUGACAGAUGGCAAAGUAGCAACAAACCGAUGGAACCCAGUAUCUCCAAUCUGAGCCUGUAUUAAGACCGGUAACUCACCGAACCAUAUGCGAGCACCAUAAAAGUUUCCAGCAAACCUAAUCGACACAAUGUCGCUCUCACAAAAACAUGCAUAAGAACACAAUAACGCACACAUUAAGACUCGAAACAAG